rnacentral:rRNA from 1 species
CUGGUUGAUCCUGCCAGAGGUUACUGCUAUCGAGAUUCGACUAAGCCAUGCGAGUCGAAUGUUCUUCGUGAACAUGGCGAACUGCUCAGUAACACGUGGACAACCUACCCUUGGGUUCGGCAUAAUCCUGGGAAACUGGGGAUAAUACCGGAUAGGUCACAGCUGCUGGAAUGCACUGUGGCUCAAAGCUCCGGCGCCCAAGGAUGGGUCUGCGGCCUAUCAGGGUUGUAGUGGGUGUAAUGUACCUACUAGCCUACGACGGGUACGGGUUGUGAGAGCAAGAGCCCGGAGAUGGAUUCUGAGACACCAAUCCAGGCCCUACGGGGUGCAGCAGGCGCGAAAACUUUACAAUGCGGGAAACCGUGAUAAGGGAAUCUCGAGUGCCAGCAUAUAAUGUUGGCUGUCCAGAUGCCUAAAAAGCAUCUGUUAGCAAGGGCCGGGCAAGACCGGUGCCAGCCGCCGCGGUAACACCGGCGGCCCGAGUGGUAACCGCUAUUAUUGGGUCUAAAGGGUCUGUAGCCGGCCAGGUAAGUCCCUUGGGAAAUCUGGCAGCUCAACUGUCAGGCUGCUAGGGGAUACUGUUUGGCUUGGGACCGGGAGAGGUGAGAGGUACCUUGGGGGUAGGGGUGAAAUCUUGUGAUCCUCGGGGGACCACCAGUGGCGAAUGCGUCUCACCAGAACGGGUCCGACGGUAAGGGACGAAAGCUAGGGGCACGAACCGGAUUAGAUACCCGGGUAGUCCUAGCCGUAAACGAUGCUCGCUAGGUGUCAGUCACGGUGCGACCGUGAUUGGUGCCGUAGGGAAGCCGUGAAGCGAGCCACCUGGGAAGUAUGGCCGCAAGGCUGAAACUUAAAGGAAUUGGCGGGGGAGCACUAC